ACUAACAAUAUUUAUUUUUUGUUUUUAAGGUUGUCCCUAAAAAAAGGGACGGACGUUGGGGAUUGGUUCCGUCAACGAUGUUCCGAGAGCGACAUCGUCUUAUUGUCAGCGACGGGAUGAUGAAGUCUCUCAGCUGCGUAUAGAGUCCGAUGAGCUGCGUAGAGAGUCCACUGAGCUGCAUCACGAGUUGACGCGAUCUGCGUUCACAGCUUGUGUGGGUGGACUCGGGGGCUUCUUGUACGUUGUAGCUGCCACAAAUCCGGAGUGGGAGAUCUUUUUGAGGAACAUGCGACAACAAAAUCCUAUUCCAGGCGAGUCAACAUCCGACGACACACAUGCCGAGGAGGAUGUAGCGAGGAGGAGUGAUGAAUUCUACCGGGCGAUUCACGACUAGCUCUUAGUUCUUUUUUAUUUGAUCAGUUCUUGUAUUAUAAAUUCAAAACUUAUUUAUAUAUAAAAUAUUUUGGUUUUCAUUUUUUUAGAAUUUUAAUUUUAUUAAUAAUUUAAAUAAUUUUAAUUAGCUUUUUAAUUAUAAUUUUUUAUAUUUCUGUAAAAUAAUGAAACAAAGUAAAUUCGUAGCUAAUUUUGCGACUUCUUUACGUGGAAGUUUAACGAGGUUUUUACGAGGAAGAGUUUACAAGGAAAUGACGUGGAAAGUUAACGUGUUCUUUACGAGAAAAACUUUCAAGGUAUUUACGUUUACUUUACGAGUAUUUACUUUCGAGUUAUUUACGUGUGUUUUACGAGGAACUCAUUUUGAGGUAUUUACGAGAAAAUUUAGCGACGUCCUUACGUAGCUUUACGACGAAAUAUUAUUCUUCGUUUUUAUGAUGAAAUCAUUUCUUCGCUACGUUACGACGAAUUAGCGAGGAUAUAUGCGUUACGACAAACGUAUAACGACGAAACGAGUUUCCUCGCUAAUUCCUCGUAAUACUGUUUUUACGACGAAAUCACGAAGAAAACCGCCCUAGUAAAUCUUUUGUUUUCUUGUAGUGUACAAUUCCGUGAGUAUUUCACAACUGAUACAUAAACAUCUCAUAAAAUUUAUAUUUUUAGUUUCUAAAACUUAAUCUCACUGCACUGAUAUUAAUGGCAUCACUAUAUAUAUUCUUUUCACAUAAGAACCUGACUUGCUUCAACAUUUCUCCGAGAUAUUUUAAGGAGAUUUGUCAGGAACAUCAUAUGAGAGAGUAAACUCAUUAUUGAAUUUAUCUUUUGAGGUCACCAAUUUUUUUUAUUUUUGGUUAAGGUCCAAAAUGUUUUUGACCUAAUAACGAAAAAAAAAGAAGUCCAAACUGUUUUUCAGAAUUUACAAUUUCUGUGAAAGUCCAUAGUAACAAGGGAAGAAAUGAAUGAAACACACUUCUAUCAAUGAUCAUCGCCAAUCAGAAUGGUCAACCAAAUUAUUAUGUUAGAAUGAUUGACUCUGUAAUUGCUAUUGACACGAUCUGGAACAUCACUACAUAGUACCUUCCUAUAAUCUAUUCUUUGAAUGUAAGCAUCGCUGUGAGUAUAACUUACAUAAUUACGUUCAUUGAAUCAUUGUACUAUUACUAGUUUGUAAAUAAUAUAUGGGUGACCAUUAGCAUAGCUUAGUAGAGAAAAGUUAUUUGUACUAAACGACAAAUGUCGAUCAUCCAUAACAAAUUACUUAUUAAGCAAAACAAAUUAAUUAUUUCUUAAGCUUAGUUUGAAGAUCUGACUUACAAGAACAUCUAGAUAUUUUAUAUAUUGUAGGAGGAGAAACUAUUUACGGCUUUACUAUGAGCCAACAAAGUCGAGUCAACUCUCCAAUGUAUCAUAUUAAUUAGAAAAACAUAGUAUAUACAAGAAUUUUGAAGGAUAUUUAUAUUUCUUAUUUUCAAACAUGUAAGAUUCGACACCGAAACAUUUGACAUUUUAGAUAACGUGCUGAAGUCACCGUGUGUGACUUUGUAAGUAAAACUCCGUCAUUCUCUCUAUUUUUUCAUAGUAUACGAGACGAACUAAUAAUGAAUCUUAUAUAAGUUGGCGAGCACGUAAUCAUUCCAAAUAUAAAAUACUUGGAAGGUUUAUAUGUAUCCAGAUUUAAAUUUGAUUCACAUGCUACCCUAAAAUCCGCUAAAAAAUAGGAUAUUCGGAGUGUCCGGUUCCGAAUCAAGAUAGUAAAAUCUUGAAUCCGUCCAUAUCGAAUCCAUAUUUGUAUCUUGAUUUUUAGGUCCGGAUCCAUAUAUGUAUUUUUAAAAUAUAUUAAUAUUUAAUUUAUUAAUAAUUAUAUUUGACAUAUUAAAAUUUAUACAUAAAUUAGUUUUUUAAUAUUAUAUUUUAUAGUAUUAUAUACAUAUUUAUAUUUAUAAUCUUGUAUAAAUAUUUAAUAUAUGUGUUAUUUUUAGACUUCCUGUGUUUUAAAAAAAUUUCUUAUAUUUUUUUUUUCACAGAUCUGGAUCUGAAUAUCCGCGGCUAGUAUGUUAUCUAGACGGAUAUCCGAAAUCCAGAUUCGACAUAUCCGAAUCCGGAUACCCUAAGUUUCUUGAAUUCGAGUUUGUCAAAUAAUUCGCGUUAUAUUUUGUUCAAGAAUGUUGACUUGUACCAAUUGACUUUAGGAAUAUAUAUAACUGUGGCAAUUUGAUUUGAAUUAUUAUUCGAUUUAAAAACACUGAAUAUAUAAUAAAGUCCAAUACAUAUAAAACUUAUUCGAUUUAGAAAUAACAGUUUUUUAAAUAAUUACUAGGAGUUUUCUUGGCCAUGCGCAGAAAUAAUAGUUUUAAAUACAACAUUCUUUUAUUUAAAAAUAAUAAUUUAAUUUACAUUUGGACAUUAUUAUUUUUAUAUUUUAACUUUAACGAUUUGAAAACAAAAAAGAGUAUAUACAUACUUUUGCAGUCUUAUUUCUUUUGCUUAGGUUUAACUAUUUCAAUUUAAUUUUAUUUCAAUUUUAAUAAAGUUAAAAUUAUGUUUUACGAAAAAAGAAUUUUUAACUAUUUUAUAUUUUUAAUGAUUAUUUAUUUUAAACAUAUCUCUUAUCUAGUUAUAUAUAUAAAAGUUCUAAUGAAUUUUUUAUUUUUUUUUCUCGUUAAAAUAUGUUAAAUUGCGAAAAUCAAAUUUUAAUUAACCUAAUGAGCCGAUAUAUAAAAUUUUAAUCAUCUGACUAUCAAAAAAAUUGAUUAGUAUUAUUUUAUUUUUGUAUUUUUAAUGCACACUUACAAUUAAUUGUGAUAACAUUUAUAUACUUAUACAUAAUAUGAUAUAAGUUGAUGUAAGAAGUUAUAUUCAUUAGUAUAUUUAUCUUUCUUUAUUUAUUUAUUUGACAUAUAUAUAUAUAUAUAUAUAUAUAUUAAUUUAAUAAUGAUAUAUGAUAUAUGAGUUAUUAGUUAUUAGUAUAUUUUAAUAGUCUUUCCAAAAAUAAAUAAAAAAUAUAUAUACAUAUAUAUAUAUAUAUAUAUAUAUAUAUAUAUAUAUAUAUAAAGUUUAUAUUAAUGAUGAUAUAUAAAUUAAUAAUCAUUACCAUAUUUAAAAAAACUUUACAAAAGAAUAUAAAUCUUUAUAAGUAAAAUUGUACAUGUCAUAAAAAUGUUAAUGUCAUGUCACAUUUUUUCAAAGACAUGUCAUCUUUUUUUUUUUGUUGAAAUUGAAUGUGGUGAUGACAGAUAUGCAAAUUAAUCCACAAAUAAUAUCUAGGGGUUAUAUAAAAUAUAUACAGAAAAUGUCAAAGACAAAAAGGUAAUGUUCGAGGGUUACCCUUUCUCUGUCCAAGCGAUGGGUGAUAAGGAUUCCAUCUCUGUUACGACCGCUGUCGGUUUGACCUCUCGUCCACCGUCGAGAAUCUUCUUUCUUUUUCCUUCUUUUCUUUUCUUCUAUGCAUGGCUGGUUUAACACUUGUUACGGGCCUUAGGGUGAUUUUUAACCGUUUAAGAUUUAUAUUUAUUUAAUAUUUAAAACUAGUCAAUAAUAUUUUGUAUAUUUUGUAAUGAAAAUAAAACUAUAUAUAUAUAAAAUAUUUUUGGGCCUUUUUAAUUUUACUUAUUAUGUUUGUUACUUUUUUGUUUGCUUAUACAUUUCUAAAAAUAUUUGGCCUUCUUAACUAUUAAUAUACAGAGAGACACGGUCUUAGACCCGAAGCAGUAGGCCGUUUGCCCCCCUUAAUUAGCCGGCCCUGCUUCCACGGUCUUGAUGAUGUUUGUUCAAAAUUAGGCUCUGCCCUUGCCAAAUCCACCUCAAGAGCCACCAACAUUAACUUUUAUUCUAAACAUGUUCGUUGUGACCUCCUCUCGACCCUCCUAAGAUUCACGACCCACCGGAUCCAUUCCAUUCCCUCAGGCGUCCCUCCUUCCAUUUGUUUGCAGCUUCUUCUCUAAGUUCUGGUUCAAUGACUUUUGGAUUAACCGAAGUACUUUUUCGUAUUCUUUAGAGAGUGGUUAUCUACUGCUUGAUUCAGCUUUCAAUCUUGUCUCAUUCCCAAUUGGAGCCAUGGCUACCCUUUGUAGAACCUUCCUCUAUUUUUGUAGUCUUCACAAAGUAUGGUCUCUGUUACCUUUUAGAACAAGUCAUAUACAAUUGAAUAUUACCAUGUAUUAGUUGUUGGAUGUAUCAAUAUACGACUACCUUUAUCUCAUUAUGAGGAUAUUGCUCUCUCUUUGAGUCUUAACCUUUGGCUCAUGUUAACCAAUAUGAGGAUGGUAUACUCUGUUGAGUUUCAGUACAGGACUUAUUUUACCUCUGUGUGAGGAAGUCAAGCUCUUGUAGCUCUUUAUUAUCUCAAUAUGAGGUUUUUAUUCUGACUUUUCUCUUGUUGGAUUUGUUGUCUAUCGUUUCAGGUUUGACAUUUGAAAAAAUAGAACUCAUUUACUCCAAAAAUAUAACUUUCAGGUUCAACUAGUUGGUGGCCCUGGUUUAAAAUAACGUGUCAUCCUUUGAGGAUAGGAGGAAGGUCAAAUUUUGAACGCCUUGCCAACCCAAGGCGUAGUCUGCAGUCUGUAGUCUGAACAAUACACAUAAGAUUAAUGAGUCAGUACAUAAAAAUCAUUCUGGUUCUUCCAUUCUUUGUCAAUAUCCCAUAUCAUUAAAAUUUAAGAUAAAUAAGUCUUUCAUAAAACAGAGAAUCAAAUCAACAAAGUUUUAAAACAAAGAAUCAAACCAACAAAGUCUUAAAAAAAGCUAAACAUAAAACCUAAGUCUUCAUAUAUUUGGAAACCUACUUUAUACACUGAAAGUAAAAAUCACCGCUGCCUUCGUACUAAUCAACACCCACAAACUUAUUAGCCACAUUUCCAACAUAUUCUUGAAUUUCAUUCUCAUCAUCAUCAUCAUCACUCAACAUCACUGGAGAUGGUGACGGCCUUUGAGAAACUCUUUGACCUUGAGUUUAGCUUGUGGAUGAAUUGUUACCUUUUUCGCUCAUACUUGAAGAUGCUCUAGUAGGGUAACUAGGCUCAUUAAAUUUGGAGGCCUUGCUUACCAGUUCCCAUGUUAAAUCAUCAUCUGCAAACACUAGAUCAACAAAGUCAUCAUCCGAAGAUUCUCCAUCCAUUCUUCCUACCAAUUACGCUCACCAAUUUUUUCUAGAUCAAUGUUAUCUUUCAGAUAGUAACAAUGUUUUAAAGCACAAUUUUUCUUAACAAAGACCAUGUUAUUUAACCGGACCUGAGCCAAUCGAUUCCUUUUCUUGGUAUGGAGAUGUUGAAACACACUCCAAUUUCUCUCACAACAUGUUGCACUACACGUGAGACUAAGAACUUUUACAGAAAAAUCUCUAAGUAUUGGAGUAGAAGCUCCAUAAGACCACUACCACUCAGCUGGUGCCUUUGUUGCCCUUUGUCUUAAGGCCAUGGGAUUACCAAAGAGUAAGAAUUCUUAAAAUGAUCUAGCUCUUUAAGUACAUGAUCUUGUGUUGUAACUUGAGGAACCAAUCUUUCAAUGGUGUUGUGUAAAUCUGUCAUGAGCUCUUAACAAUUCAUUCCAGGCCCUUUGUACUGAAAUUCAAGAUUCAAAAAGUGGCCAGCAGCAUGAAAAAGGCUGAUAGAUUUGGCAGUUCCACCUUUAAUCAAUUAUUUUCAGAAAUACGCUUGUACUGAUCUCCUUUAUGGAGGAAGGUUUUGGCAAUCGUCUCCUUAGCUUUAUUGUUUGCUUCAUAAAUGUACCCUAUAGCUGGUUUUUAUCCCCAUCUACCGCCCAGUCAACUUGAUUCUAUAAACAAAUUUUUUUCACAAGUUGUCUUACAUAAUGAUUUGUUUCACCUUCUUUGCUCCUAAUUCUUUUGACCACUUUGAAUCAAUCCAAUCUUGAGAAGUUAUAAACUUUCUCAAGUUAUACUUGUGGUGGUAGUACUGUCCAAGUGUGGUGAACGACAUAGACAAAUCAUUUUUUGAUGAACUGAUGGUCUAUGCAAUUGUUUUUGGCUUGUGAACCUUCUCAUCAUAUUUACGAGAGAUGUAUGACCAUAGAUGUAGCCAUUCAAAAAGAUGCAGCUUCUUAUUGCAGCCUUAAAUAAAGGAAUCUUUUGUAGAUUCUCCAACAUGAGAUCAAUGCAGAGUUGAUGAUGUUCUUUUGUACAACUGAAUCAUGUCAUCCAUCAAACAUGAUUGAACAGCCUUUCGCUACCCAUUAGGCUUUGUGUUCCACCAGCUGAUUCUCAGUUUCCUUGAUUUCUUUAACCUAGAGAGGAACUCACAGUUCGUACAUACUUGGUGGCUUAAAACCAAAACUAUAUUGAGCUACAAAUUCGAGUUCCUCCUUGAAAUUGUCAUAAUUGGAUGCAUUGAAAAGCACUAAACGCGUUGUCCAUAAGUUCUUAAUAACAUACUCCAAAAAAAUCUUGUACGUCUUUUCUUCCUUUCAAUACAUCAAGUGGAAUAGGAGCAACAAAGAUGUCUAUAGGACCCUUACGUUUCUUCAGAUUGAGCAGACAUGGACGUUUUUAACUUGUUUGAAGUUCUUCUAGUUCAUCAUCAUAACCAAACGCUGGUUGUUGCAUUUAGAGGGAAGCUUUAGCUACAGCCUUGUUAAUGAGAAAAUUUUGACUUCUUUAUUCACAUGAUCUACGAAUUUAGGACAGAGAGUAACAGUUGGCUAGCCUCCAACCAUAUGUUGUUCAACACAUAAAACUCCACCAUUGUGACCUUACCACAAAACUUAUAUAUCCAACAAUCAAACUUCUUAGAAUCAGCAGUGGCAUACUUUUUGGCUGGAUCGACUUGUUUAGUCGAAGUAUACAUGGUGAUAAGAAAAGAGUAUUGAUAUUUAGAGAAUAUAGCAGAAGCAAGAAGCAAAAGAUUUAUGAAACCAGAAGCAAAAGAUUUAUAGAACCAGAAACACAAGAAAAAAAAAAUAUAUACUUGGAUAGUAGAAGAGU